CUACGCCAAAGCAAUACCUAUAUAUAUACAUAUAUAUAUAUUGUUUCUUUUAUUACAACUUUUUACUACUUUAUAAAUUAGGUACAAAACAAAAUCACGCAGAGAAGUGUAAAAUAUGUAAUAAUAUUUUAAAACCAAAAAGAUUAUAUAAUUUUUUUAUUAAAAGUACACUAAAAAUCAUGUUUUUAAUAAAAAAAUACAGUGAUAAACUAGACAAGUAUAGCUUAUAAAAUGCCAUCGUCAUCUUUUGCAAAUAGGCUAAGGUAUGGUUAUUUUUAUUUACUGCAAUUAGUCUAUCUUUAAACCAUUUUCAUGUCAUACAUCCAAAUUAUCCGACUCGUCAAAGUUUAUUACAUAUUAUGUACCAAAAACAUUUAUAACAUAUUAUCGGAUAAUAUUUAGCUUCAUAUACUUAUAGAUACUAACAAUCAAUUUGCAUUCACUUCAUAUAUAUUUAAACUAUUCAACGCAUAUACUAAAAAUAAUAAAUAAAAUUGCCAGUUAAUUAGUAGUACUGAAUGUGAAAUAACAGUUAAUAAAUAUAAUAUAAUUUUUUUUUAAUAGAUAAAAGUCUGGAAACUUACAUGGAAGUAAAAUACAAAACAUCAUACUAUAUAAAAUAAUAGUAAUAAAUAUUGAAAAGAAUAUGAGGUUCUUACAAUAGUUCAGGAUAUGAAGCGAAACUCGAGGAGCUCUGAGACCGAUGUCUCUGUGAAGGCCGAUGAACAUUCACUGCCAAUGAAAGAGCAGCGACAAAACAUAGAACUAAAGUUAUAAACCGGAGAACCAAACCGGAAACAUGAGCCGACGCUCGCCGUGAGCUGAACCUCGAUGCUGAUGGCGUUACGGAGUAUGCCAAUGAAGACGGCGUCGGAACUGACGGGGCCUGAUGAGAGAUUGGCGACGCCGUUACUGAACCCUCCGACGAUGGUCCGUAGGUGAUCGACACCACUACGUGAUCUUUAUGUUCUUUCAUCAACUUUGAGUGUCACAAUAAUAAUUGAAGAGAAAUUGAUUAAUUUGUAUGUUUUUUCUUCCUUUGAAAUAUAUAUUAAAUAUUGAUGGGAUUAGUUGAUUUUAAGUUAAAGAUUUACAUGAAGUUUCAGCGAAAGUU